rnacentral:tRNA from 1 species
GUGGCUGUGGCUCAGGGUAGAGCGCUUGCCUAGCAUGUGUGAGGCACUGGGUUCGAUCCUCAGCACCACA